rnacentral:rRNA from 1 species
UACGAAGGGGACUAGCGUUGUUCGGAAUCACUGGGCGUAAAGCGCACGUAGGCGGAUUUGUAAGUCAGGGGUGAAAUCCCGGGGCUCAACCUCGGAACUGCCUUUGAUACUGGGGAUCUCGAGUCCGGGAGAGGUGAGUGGAACUCCGAGUGUAGAGGUGAAAUUCGUAGAUAUUCGGAAGAACACCAGUGGCGAAGGCGGCUCACUGGCCCGGUACUGACGCUGAGGUGCGAAAGCGUGGGGAGCAAACAGG